rnacentral:lncRNA from 10 species
GAAAAAGCGUGCUUAUUUGUCUACCUUCAAUGCACAGACACACCCUGGUAAAUGUGACAGUUCCUUUUGGAGAAUGCAGGGAGAAAGACAGAAGAUAUACAUGUUUGACUGUGUGGGCAAGGUCCUUCCUCAAAGAGACAAGCUUCCCCUUCAUUCAAAGGGCUGUGGAUCUGUGACUGCCUGGAGGGGAACCAUGACCAUUGAGCUAAUGCAA